AAAGGAAUAGACGGGGACCCGCACAAGCAGCGGAGCAUGUGGUUUAAUUCGAUGCAACGCGAAGAACCUUACCAGGACUUGACAUCCCUCGGACCGAAUUAGAGAUAAUUCUUUCCCUUCGGGGACUGAGGAGACAGGUGGUGCAUGGUUGUCGUCAGCUCGUGUCGUGAGAUGUUGGGUUAAGUCCCGCAACGAGCGCAACCCCUGUCUUUAGUUGCAAACAGUAAGGCUGAGCACUCUAAAGAGACUGCCGAUGAUAAAUCGGAGGAAGGUGGGGAUGACGUCAAAUCAUCAUGCCCUUUAUGUCCUGGGCUACACACGUGCUACAAUGGUCGGUACAGAGGGUUGCCACUUAGCAAUAAGGAGCUAAUCCCACAAAGCCGACCCCAGUUCGGAUUGCAGGCUGCAAUUCGCCUGCAUGAAGCCGGAGUUGCUAGUAAUCGUGGAUCAGAAUGCCACGGUGAAUGCGUUCCCGGGUCUUGUACACACCGCCCGU
rnacentral:rRNA from 1 species